CCGGCUGGUGCCUCAUCUCCCCUCAAAUUGCUGCCGCAGUCCGUGUUACUGAAUCAAGGACUUGGUGAGCCUGGUGUCCGUUCAAAGGAUGGUCUUCCAAAUGUCCGUUCCCACAUGGGGAGACUUCCAUGUUAACAAUAGGUUAUUGUAGUGCGGCUGGCCCGGAGGACUGGGGACUGUGAAAAUAAAUUAAGAGUGGGCCGGUCGGAGCUGCAACAGUCAUCGUGGGCAGCUCUUGGGCUUGCCAGAAAUUAUUUGGCGCUGCGGUUUACGCAUCUAUUAGUCCAAUUGCCCAACAGCUUCAGACUGGGUUGGGAUUUUUUUUUUUUUUUUGAAAGAUGAAAGAUUUGGGGGCUGUUUGAACAUCUGCUCUGGUAUCACUUGGGAAGUUUAAAGUCAGACGAGUUCGUAUGAUCAGCGAGUGGGAUGUUUUCUUCCCUGUGUAGGGAUUAAAAACAAAAUAGUGAGAAAACGCAGUUUUUUUCGUUGUCCCAUAGUAUGGGCUCCGUGGGCUAGGGCCGGGUCGGAAGCAGCUCUGGUGGAAGAGAAGCCUUUGCAAAAUGUGCUUCCACCCUGGAAAGCGUCGGGGGCCGCGGGCUCCAGCGGGUCACUCUGCCCGCCCCGGGUGCCGCCCGCCACAGCUGGACUCUUGUUUCUCCAGCGCCUCUGGCCUCCCUGCCUGUCUCCGGGGACGGGGACUGAGCUGGCGGCGGCAGAUGAGUGUUCUGCGGUGUCACUGAGAACUCUGGCUCAUGCACGAGGCCAGCUGGAGGCGAGUGCCGGGGUCUGUUUGAGACAGAUGGCUCUGUCAGAUCUGGCUCCUGGAAACUGUGCAAGACGUGCACCACUUGGUGGGGCUUGGAGGCCUGAGCUCCCAGGGUGGCCUUUCGGGCUGACGCAUGGGGCCGGAGCAAGCUGGGGAGUGGGGGACUUGCUGCCUGCCCAUCCCCCUGCACCAGCCACCCCAGGGUUUUGUGGGACCUCAUGGGAGACCUCAAAGUGAAACAGCCGUGCAUGUCCCUACGGUGACUGACAAGGCAGUAAUGAUCCACCCACACCCCCGCCUCUGGCUUCAUCUCCUCCACGCACCCGCUCUGUUCUGCCCCUGCUGGCCUUCUUGCUGUUCCUUGAUUGCACCAGCCACGCCGCUGCCUCAGGGCCUUUGUACCCGCUGCCCCCUCUGCCUGGAAUGCUUUCCUCCUGAUUUCCACACGGCUCCUCCCUCGCUUCCUUCGGCCUUUCCAUAUUGGUCACUUUCUCUGUGGGGUCUUUCCUGACCACCCUUUCUAAAACUCCAGCCCCAGACUUGACAGUCCUGACCACACCCCCCGAUGCCAUUUUCCUCCUUGGCAUGUGUUACCAGCACUGGCUGGUGAGUUACUUACUGACCUUGUACCUCUUGUCUCCUGCCCUCACCCCUGCUGAAGCCUAAAGGAGCCGCAGGAGCUCCAUGGCUGGUCUGUUUUGUUCACAGCGGCAUCCCUAGGACUCAGAAUAAUGCCUGCGCACAGUAGGCACGGAAGUAUUUGUGGAAGGAAGAAAUGGAGAUCAUCAUGAAAUAAGCGCUAUUGGCCGGGCACGGUGGCUCACGCCUGUAAUCCCAGCACUUCGGGAGGCCGAGUUCUGGAGAUCCGAAGUCCGGAAUCAGGGUGUCAGCGGGACGGCUUCCUUCUGCUGGAGCUAGAGUGGGAAUCUGUCCGGGCCUUUCUUCCAGUUUCUGGCAUUGCCCACAGUCCUUGGGGUUCCUUGGCUCCUAGAAGCCAUCUCUCCGAUCACUGAACUUCAUCGCUGUGAUCGCUGCCUCUGCCAUCAUGUGACCUUCUCUGUGUGUCUUCACGCGGCCUUCUACGGAGGACACCAGUCUUUGGAUGGGGACCCACCUUAACCCAGCAUGACCUCAUCUGGUCAUAAUUACAUCUCAAAGACCCACUUUCCAAAGGAGGUCAUGUGCUGAGUCUGUGGUGGACCUGAAGUCUCGGGAGCAAUGCCAACCCAGCAUGAUGCCUCCCCAUGCUUCGAGGCGCCCUCUGUGCAAUGGGGAUGGCAGCAGUGAUGCCUCCUCCCCGGCCGCUGGUGAAAUGAGAAAACACCGGCAAAGACUCCAGAGCAUAGCCUGGCUCCCCGCAACAGCCAAGCCAGGUGGCCUGUUCCAGCUGGCAUCUCUCCAGCUGCAGAUGAGAUCCCCGGGGUCCCUUCUGCCUCCUUCCCUCCACCCCAGAGCAGCCCACUCUUGAAAACCUGAUGCUUCCUUUAGACUUUCAGGGCAUAUGGCUCCAGUCAGAGUCCACCUCUGGUUUUGUUUUGCCUGUUGGUAAACCCUGGAUAAAUGGUCACAUGGAACCUGUACCCUCUGGAGUCUGCGCUUAAAGUGUGAGGUUUACUCUGAGUGACUCGUGCAGGCCCUGCUGGCCCUUGUCCCAGCUGCGUGGUGUUCCAUGGGUGACAUUUGUUCGUUCGUGUUCCGUCAAUGGAGGGAGGUUGGUUCCAGGUUCUGCUAUUACAGAUGCUGCCCAGGCUGUUCUUUUGCCUCAUGUUGGUGCCUGACAGUUUCUCAACAGUGUGGGGCUGAAUUUCAGGGUUACAGGCUGGGGUCACAUUCAGCCUUCCUGGAUCUUGCCAGCACGCCUCUCACUCUCUCUCUCUCUCUCUCUCUCUCUCUCUCUCUCUCUCUCUGUCUCUCUCUCUCCCCCCCCUUCCCUCCCUCCCCACCC
rnacentral:lncRNA from 1 species